UACGAAGGGUGCAAGCGUUACUCGGAAUUACUGGCGUAAAGCGUGCGUAGGUGGUUUGUUAAGUCUGUUGUGAAAGCCCCGGGCUCAACCUGGAAUGGCAAUGGAUACUGGCAAGCUAGAGUGCGGUAGAGGGUAGUGGAAUUCCCGGUGUAGCGGUGAAAUGCGUAGAGAUCGGGAGGAACACCAGUGGCGAAGGCGGCUACCUGGACCAGCACUGACACUGAGGCACGAAAGCGUGGGAGCAAACAGG
rnacentral:rRNA from 1 species